rnacentral:rRNA from 1 species
AGAUUGAACGCUGGCGGCAGGCCUAACACAUGCAAGUCGAGCGGCAGCACGGGUACUUGUACCUGGUGGCGAGCGGCGGACGGGUGAGUAAUGCCUAGGAAUCUGCCUGAUAGUGGGGGAUAACGCUCGGAAACGGACGCUAAUACCGCAUACGUCCUACGGGAGAAAGCAGGGGACCUUCGGGCCUUGCGCUAUCAGAUGAGCCUAGGUCGGAUUAGCUAGUUGGUGGGGUAAUGGCUCACCAAGGCGACGAUCCGUAACUGGUCUGAGAGGAUGAUCAGUCACACUGGAACUGAGACACGGUCCAGACUCCUACGGGAGGCAGCAGUGGGGAAUAUUGGACAAUGGGCGAAAGCCUGAUCCAGCCAUGCCGCGUGUGUGAAGAAGGUCUUCGGAUUGAAAGCACUUUAAGUUGGAGGAAGGCAGUUGCUAAUACGUAUCUGUUUGACGUUGCCGACAGAAUAAGCACCGGCUAACU